GGAGUUUAAAUCAUUUGUCUGUGGUCACUAGAUUGGCUUGUAGCAGAGCCUGAGCUCCUGACAUUCAGACUGUUGCUUUUUCCUAUAUUGUUAAAAUUAUAUUGUGGAUAAAGAGGAUUACUUCCUGGAUAUUACAGGGUUUCACUGAAUGUAGGCUGUCUAAAUUAAUACACAGUCUUUGUUGCCACAGUAAUGCUAUUUUUCUGAUAUUUAGGCCCUAUCCACACAUUCUUUCUACACCAGCAGCUCAAACAAUGUCUGCCUAUGCAGGCCAGGCUCAGUAUUCGGGGAUGCAGCAGCCAGCCGUCUACACAGCCUACUCACAGACAGGACAGCCCUACAGCCUGCCCACAUACGAUUUGGGUGUGAUGUUGCCAGCCAUCAAGACAGAGAGUGGACUUUCCCAAACUCAGUCCCCAUUACAGAGUGGUUGCCUCAGUUACAGCCCAGGGUUCUCUACCCCACAGCCAG
rnacentral:sRNA from 1 species